rnacentral:rRNA from 1 species
UACAGGGGGGGCAAGCGUUGUUCGGAAUUACUGGGCGUAAAGGGCUCGUAGGCGGCCAACUAAGUCACACGUGAAAUCCCCGGGCUUAACCUGGGAACUGCGUGUGAUACUGGAUGGCUUGAAUUCGGGAGAGGGAUGCAGAAUUCCAGGUGUAGCGGUGAAAUGCGUAGAUAUCUGGAGGAAUACCGGUGGCGAAGGCGGCAUCCUGGACCGACAUUGACGCUGAGGAGCGAAAGCUAGGGGAGCAAACAGG